GAUGAACGCUGGCGGCGUGCUUAACACAUACAAGUCGAACGGAACGUAACCGAGGAAAUUUUUCGAAGUGGAAUCGGUUACGUUUAGUGGCGGACGGGUGCGUAACACGUGGGCAACCUGCCCUGCUUUUCGGAAUAACGCCGGGAAACCGUCGCUAAUGCCGAAUGAUAUGAGGAGAAGGCAUCUUCUUUUCAUCAAAGAAUUUCGAAGCAGGAUGGGCCCGCGCCGGAUUAGCUGGUUGGUGAGGUAACGGCUCACCAAGGCGACGAUCCGUAGCCGACCUGAGAGGGUGAUCGGCCACACUGGAACUGAGACACGGUCCAGACUCCUACGGGAGGCAGCAGUGGGGAAUAUUGCACAAUGGGCGAAAGCCUGAUGCAGCAACGCCGCGUGAGCGAUGAAGGCUUUCGAGUCGUAAAGCUCUGUCGCAGGGGAAGAAAAAGACGGUACCCUGUGAGAAAGCCCCGGCUAACUACGUGCCAGCAGCCGCGGUAAUACGUAGGGGGCAAGCGUUAUCCGGAAUUACUGGGCGUAAAGGGUGCGUAGGCGGCUUUUCAAGUCAGGCUUAAAGGCUAACGGCUCAACCGUAGUAAGGCCUUGAAACUGGAGAGCUUGAGUAUCGGAGAGGAAAGUGGAAUUCCCAGUGUAGCGGUGAAAUGCGUAGAUAUUGGGAGGAACACCAGUGGCGAAGGCGACUUUCUGGACGAUGACUGACGCUGAGGCACGAAAGCGUGGGGAGCAAACAGGAUUAGAUACCCUGGUAGUCCACGCCGUAAACGAUGAGUACUAGGUGUCAGGUGUCAAAGCUUGGUGCCGCAGUUAACACAGUAAGUACUCCGCCUGGGGAGUACGCUCGCAAGAGUGAAACUCAAAGGAAUUGACGGGGACCCGCACAAGUAGCGGAGCAUGUGGUUUAAUUCGAAGCAACGCGAAGAACCUUACCUAAGCUUGACAUCCCGUUGACCGGGGCUUAAUCGCCCCUUUCCCUUCGGGGACAAUGGAGACAGGUGGUGCAUGGUUGUCGUCAGCUCGUGUCGUGAGAUGUUGGGUUAAGUCCCGCAACGAGCGCAACCCUUGUUUUUAGUUGCCAGCGGUUUGGCCGGGCACUCUAAAAAGACUGCCGAGGAUAACUCGGAGGAAGGUGGGGAUGACGUCAAAUCAUCAUGCCCCUUAUGCUUAGGGCUACACACGUGCUACAAUGGCUGUUACAAAGGGCCGCGAGGCCGCAAGGCGGAGCCAAUCCCAUAAAAACAGUCUCAGUUCGGAUUGCAGGCUGAAACUCGCCUGCAUGAAGUCGGAGUUACUAGUAAUCGCGAAUCAGCAUGUCGCGGUGAAUGCGUUCCCGGGUCU
rnacentral:rRNA from 1 species